GAUGAACGCUGGCGGCGUGCCUAACACAUGCAAGUCGAGCGAACCCUUCGGGGUGAGCGGCGGACGGGUGAGUAACGCGUGGGUAACCUGCCCUGUACACACGGAUAACAUACCGAAAGGUAUGCUAAUACGGGAUAAUAUAUGAGAGUCGCAUGGCUUUUGUAUCAAAGCUCCGGCGGUACAGGAUGGACCCGCGUCUGAUUAGCUAGUUGGUAAGGUAACGGCUUACCAAGGCAACGAUCAGUAGCCGACCUGAGAGGGUGAUCGGCCACAUUGGAACUGAGACACGGUCCAAACUCCUACGGGAGGCAGCAGUGGGGAAUAUUGCACAAUGGGCGAAAGCCUGAUGCAGCAACGCCGCGUGAGCGAUGAAGGCCUUCGGGUCGUAAAGCUCUGUCCUCAAGGAAGAUAAUGACGGUACUUGAGGAGGAAGCCCCGGCUAACUACGUGCCAGCAGCCGCGGUAAUACGUAGGGGGCUAGCGUUAUCCGGAAUUACUGGGCGUAAAGGGUGCGUAGGCGGUCUUUCAAGCCAGAAGUGAAAGGCUACGGCUCAACCGUAGUAAGCUUUUGGAACUGUAGGACUUGAGUGCAGGAGAGGAGAGUGGAAUUCCUAGUGUAGCGGUGAAAUGCGUAGAUAUUAGGAGGAACACCAGUAGCGAAAGCGGCUCUCUGGACUGUAACUGACGCUGAGGCACG
rnacentral:rRNA from 1 species